AAACGGUGGUAAUGCCGGAUGCUCCGACUCCUCGCAUGGGGUGUCGGGAAAGAUUUCAUCGGUAUGGGAUGGGGUCGCGUCCUAUCAGGUAGUCGGCGGGGUAACGGCCCACCGAGCCUACGACGGGUAGCCGGCCUGAGAGGGCGACCGGCCACAUUGGGACUGAGAUACGGCCCAGACUCCUACGGGAGGCAGCAGUGGGGAAUAUUGCACAAUGGGCGCAAGCCUGAUGCAGCGACGCCGCGUGCGGGAUGACGGCCUUCGGGUUGUAAACCGCUUUUGAUCGGGAGCAAGCCUUCGGGUGAGUGUACCUUUCGAAUAAGCACCGGCUAACUACGUGCCAGCAGCCGCGGUAAUACGUAGGGUGCAAGCGUUAUCCGGAAUUAUUGGGCGUAAAGGGCUCGUAGGCGGUUCGUCGCGUCCGGUGUGAAAGUCCAUCGCUUAACGGUGGAUCUGCGCCGGGUACGGGCGGGCUGGAGUGCGGUAGGGGAGACUGGAAUUCCCGGUGUAACGGUGGAAUGUGUAGAUAUCGAAAAAAAAACCC
rnacentral:rRNA from 1 species